AUUUUUUUUGUUUUUGCCUUUUUCUCGUCCCCGAACAGGCGGAUUGCUUCAAAGAACGGGGAGGCAGG
rnacentral:ribozyme from 14 species